rnacentral:lncRNA from 13 species
UUGUGUUUAAAGUAUCUCCAUUUAAAGGCCCAGUGUUAUUUCGACCUCAAUGUACUCAUUUUGACAAUUACGUUUACUUUUGAAACUUAAGUAUAUUUAAAACCAAGUGCUUUUUGACUUUUACUCAAGUAGUAUUUUGCUAGGAGACUAACUUUUUUUUUUUUUACUUUUACAAUUGGGUACUUUUUCUACCACUGCAAACAGGCUAUUAUUGCUGUAACGUUAACUAGCCAACGUUACAUUGGCUACACAGUAAGUAUAGCUAGGUCGCUGUUUUUCUAUAUUAAACUACGUACGGUAUGUUGUAACACGGAACAAAAUAAAGUUUGCGCCAGAAGGGGUCAGUUCUUUCAGCUUUUCUCAGAUACUAUUUGUCCAUUGCCAUGUCUUGCUUGAAAGCUUGAAGCUAACAAUUACUUGUAUGCCCAUUCGUUUUCAUUGCAGCCCUGUUUGAACGCAUAGUUACGCUAACUCCGUAUUCACAAUGUACAAUACUCAGUGAGUCAACUCAAAUCCGGCUAACUGGUAAUUAUGAAGUUAUAUGUAUUUAUUUUAUUUUCAUCUAGCUAGUUAUCUUGUUGUGUCUGCAUUGCCAGUGCUUAGUUCGGCUGGAAGCAGGUUAAGUCUUGAGCAGGCAACCUCUGUGACUUGUUUUUUUAGCUGGUGAAUUUUAAUGUAGUUUACGAAAGUUCAAUCAGGAAGGCUGGUCUGAAAGCUCAUUUAACUUAAUCGUUUAACUUAAGCGUUUUACUCUGUGUCCCAGCAAAGGGUUACCAGCAUCUGUCAUCAGCAUUCAUCGGAGACGUGGUUAUACCCCAUUAAGACAUGUCCAUAUUGUAUUCUGUUUCUGUUGUUCAUUCAGUAAAGCAUAUACUCGAUUGAAAUACUGUUGCAUCCGUCAACAGGCAAUAACUAGCCACAGAAGAUGAAUGAAUGAAUGAAUACAUAUUUAACCUAUUUUUCAGGAAUUUGUCUUUCAGCAUAAAAAUAUCCUGCCUCUUCUUCACCAGUGAAUCAGGCAGCACUUCAGGGUCAUCGCUGAUGAAAGGCCUGCAACAUGACAAGGAGGAGAUACUUGAGGACGAAGAGUAUUCGAUUGAGACACAGACACACAUACACAGGACAGGCAGGUGAACAUCAACUGGCAGAGAAGCAGCUGAACUGGUUCCCCCCUAGCCCUUCUAGUUUGAUGCUGACAGAGGUGGCUGCUGCACAUGCUAAACUGGUGGUGCAGGUCAUAAAAAUGCUCUAGCCUGGUCCCAGAUCCCUCUAGCCUGGUCUUGCUAACUCCUAAUGUAUGAUAGUUGUCAUGCCAUGUUUCCAUAGGAGUUGGCUAUAUAGUACAAACAGAUCAUAGACCAAACUAACAUUUGGCUGAUUUUCAGAACCGAAAGUGAAACUUCAGUGUACUUGAGGACUACUCUAGAAAUUGUUGGCUUUGUUGCAAGAUAGAAAGGAGAAUAAGACGUGGUUUGCUUGUGUGUCACCUGAAUGUGAGGGCAAGCGGUUAUGUAUGAUAUGGUUAUGAUAGUAAUGUAGGCCCUAACAUGCACUUUGUUUUCAGGUUUGAAUGAGACAAUAUAUUCCCCUAACCUUAUUAUUUUAAUAAAGUGAUUGUUUAUGAAUAUUAUAUUACUUGUGUAUGUCUGUCCUUAUCAUAUGUAAUUGAUAAUUGUUUUUGGUGCGGAUGUGUUUAAUUUACUAUCUGGAUAAAGUGUCUGAUCAUGGAAAAUGUCAUAGAAUUUUUGGGAAGUGCCAUCAGUCACAUCAGUCCAUAUUUUGUAAGGAUAAGGAAUAGAACUACCUUUUAAUGUGAAGAAGUUCUACCUUCCAGAGCUUGAGUUCUAAAAUAAUAACUUGAAAAGAUACCCAGCUAGCAAAUUUGAUUCCUUGGAAGUUGUGGGAAGGUACGUUUUUGGUUUCCCAUUGGUUCUGGGAACAAAGCCAGAAGUUUCCGUACCAGUAAAACCAAACGUUCUAAGAACGGAAGUUAACAUUUUGCCUGUUCUGGGAACGUUUAUUUUUAGGUUGCAGGUAGGUUCUGAAAAUGUUUUACUCUGGUUCUCUUAAAGUUUUCCUGGGAGGUUUUAUUAACGCU